UUCAAGGUCCUAUGUGGCUUCCUAAGAAUUCAGUAUUUCAAAUCCCUUCAAUUUUAGAGCAUUUGAGUUUAUAAUAACUGUUUGAGAUUCCUGCUCCCCCCUUAAUUCAAGGUUCUAUGUGGCUUCCUAAUAAUUCAGUAUUUCAAUUCCCUUUAAUUCUAAAGCAUUUGAGUUUAUUAUAUUCAUCCUACGUGGCAAUUAAUUCCACAUAAUUUUUUUAAUUUUAUAAACGCAAAAUCAAUAUUUCUCUCCCCCAAUUCCCUAACCCUAAAACCAAUUCAUCUUCCCCCAGUCUCUCACAUCCAACUCUCCCCUCCUGGCCGCAAUUUACCGUACUCCGGCUUCAAGAUGGAGCCGCCGCCCCCUUCCGGUCUAUGAUACGCCGCACUCCGGCCUUAAGUCGGUGCCGCCGCCCCACCCUCCAGUACGGUUGGUCUGCAAUGUACCGAAGUUGGCACCAUCGCCCCUUCCCUCUAUUCCCUUUCUUUAACCUUCUCCUCGAUCCUAUUCGGCGCCGGUUCCUCGUCGUUGCUGUCGCAAUCCCUCUGUCAGUUUCUCUUUGCCGGCCGCCACUAAUGGCUGGCCCGCUGCAUCUCCACUCAAUCCUCGGCACUCCUCCAACAAUAGAGGCGCUUAACUACUCGAGAAGCAGAAGAAAGAAGAAGUCUAUCUAUAUCAAUUGGUGGGGCUGGUGCCUAAACACGGGAUUGGAUUGGUGGAGAAGACGAUGGUUGUUUUGAGUAGCUUGGCGACGAUUGAGAUAGGGCAAGAUGCGAUUGAAGAAGGCGGGAUCACGACGUUGGUGGAGACGAUUGAGGAUGGGAGCAACAAAGGGAAAUGAGCUUGCAGUAUGUAAUUCCUUACUUCGUUGGAUUUUUUUUUUCUUUUCCGGCUAAAAGGCUUCUUCAGUACAUACCAAGAGAAGAAUAAGCUUCUUCUUCAAGUCCAUAAAUGGAGGAUAGGUAUUAGAG